UCCACGCAUGCCUCGCUCGCUCGGCUCUCCCGUCCUCUGGUUCCGCAGGGGCUAGCUCGCUCGCACGGCUCGCUCGUUCCUCUGAUUCCGCGCCUCCUCAAUCGCUAGCUCGCCCGGCUCGCUCGUUCGUCUGGUUUUCGCAAGCGCACCGCCCAGUUGCUAGAUCUCGCGACCGUCCUCCUCCUCCGUCCACCGCCGGCCACCCCCGCCGCCCUCGAGCCCGGCGGCCGCCCCCGCCACCGUCUCCCUCAUCUGCCGGCGUCUUCCUCCGUCGUCCGCCGCCGGCCGCCCCCGCCGCCCUCGAGCCCGGCGGUCGGCCCGGCCACUGUCUCCCUCGUCCGCUGGCGCGUCUUCCUCCGUCGUCCUCCGCCGGCCGGCCCCGUCGUCCUCCGUCAUCCGCUGCCGUCUUCCUCCUUCGUCCGCCGCCGACCGUCCCGCCGCCCUCGAGCAAAUGAAGGCAACACUAACCAUUCAGAUCUCAGUUCACAACACUGAAAGAGCACUAUGCUGUUUCAGGAGAAAGAAAUAUAAACGAUAAUCUGGAACUAGUUCAUGAGCCAGAAAAUACUGCCAGAUCAAGUGGUGAGUUUCUCCAGAGAAGUAUGUCAGCAACUGAUCUAGAUAUAACUGAAUUGGCACCACAGAACACUCACCAUGUUGCUUCAGAAGACGCAGAUGUUAAAGAUGUUCACGGGGAUAUCUGUGUUUCACAAGCUGGUGCUGAUUUCGAAAUAACUGGUGAAGUUGAAGGUUGUAUUAAGAAAAUUGAAGCCAUAGGUGACAUGGGGACACAUAAACUGGUAGUCCAAGAUCCGUCUGAUGAGCUGGUAAUGCAGAACAUUACCAAAAGAAUUUCACUGGAGAGGAAACAGGUGAACCGGACUGCGACUCCUCAAGCAUCUCAUGGAGGCAUCUGCUGUCAGAGCUCCCUUUAGUAUCUUCGUGGAAAUCUUGAUAUGCAAUGCUGAGAAAAUCCUUCAGCUCAGCGAAACCAUCAUGAGCACCGAACCGUGAUGCAGAGGCCAUUCUCAUUCCUUCAUGAUCAAUUGACUGGUUUGUUCUAUCCUGCAACAAUGCCAAAUUCACUGUCAGCUCACAAAUGUAGGUCAGAUCAACUCUUGUAUGCACAUACAGCAUUGCAUCAGGAUAUGCGGACGGAAUAUGAUACUUACCUCCGAAGAAUUCAGCCAUCUUGCAACAACAGAGUUUCCCGAUCUUCCUAACUGAGGGCAUAUAGACAAUACAGCAACUACACUGACAACAUGAUUUCGCCUAUUGGUUAUUGAACUAUAUAUAGAUGCAGACAAUGCAGCAAUACUGAAGAUGAUCUCUCCAGAUGGUACUAUCACAAGAUGGUGUCCUGCGUCAGAAAAUAGGAAGUUUGCAACCUAGAUUUUCUUAUGCAGUUGUAACAUUUUCCACCAUUGUCAGAUUCUUGUUGUGGCUCCUUCAAUUUGAAACAGAUUAAUGUUGUAGUUUGUACUUUGUAGUAAUCACAGAUGUACAUGAUGAUCAAUGUAUCACCUUUUCUUGACAUGAUCAAUGUAUCACCUUUUCUUUUGAUAUGAAAUAUAUAUGGAUGUGUUGGAAAAAAA